rnacentral:rRNA from 1 species
GACGGAGGGUGCUAGCGUUGUUCGGAAUCACUGGGCGUAAAGCGCACGUAGGCGGCUUUGUAAGUUAGAGGUGAAAGCCUGGGGCUCAACCCCCAGAAUUGCCUUUUAAGACUGCAUCGCUUGAAUCCGGGAGAGGUGAGUGGAAUUCCGAGUGUAGAGGUGAAAUUCGUAGAUAUUCGGAAGAACACCAGUGGCGAAGGCGGCUCACUGGACCGGUAUUGACGCUGAGGUGCGAAAGCGUGGGGAGCAAACAGG